GCUAUGAUUCAAGAGCCAAACCAAUGGUGGUGAUGCUGCUGGCCCUGGAUCCUGCUCCCCAGGCUGCUUCUGAACCUCAGCCAAGCCCACCAACAGCAUCAUUUUCCCUUAGUGAAACAGCACCAACACACUGACAAAGGCCAAGUCACUGGACGUGCUCCUGGGCUCUUCCCCAAGAGGAGAAGGAACCCCAGCCACGUUUUGGGGACGUACCGGAUGCCGAAGACGCAGUGGACGUAGUUCCAGAUGGCGCGGCGCAGCAUGGAGGUGUCGACGCCGCAGUGCACGGCGAUGGUGUUGUAGGUCAGGUUGAAAACCACCUGGAACUUCUCAUCCAGGAGCUGCCCCACGUCCGGGUACAGGCGGUUGAUCAGCGAGUAGCCGUGGUCCUCCCAGGUGUAAUCCUGUUGGAGAAAGGAUGCUGGGAUAGAGGUUUGAUGGGGAAAAGCGGCGUCCCUCUGUCCUGGUUUCAGGCACUAUAGAGGCUCUGCCAGUGGGAGGAGGAUAUCCAGGACAGGUGACCCAAAGUCAUCAGAGGGAUAUUCCACACCAAAGAACGUCAUGCCCAGUAUAURGACUGGGCAGAGUUACCCAGAAGGGGCCAAUCUGGGUUUGGGAAGGAGGGUCUGGCAUUAGUCAGUGGGUGCUGAGCAACUGCAUCGUGCAUCACUUACACUGUCAUUAUUAUAAUUAUUUACCAUCAAUACUGUAUUUUACUUUA